UCGAAAACAAACGAAAAGCCAACUCAGUGAAUUUAAGAAGACUCUUAAUCAAAUAACCGAGAAAGUGAUGAAAGUUGAGUCCGCCAUUGAUGCUAUUGAGCAAUAUAGCUACAAGUACAAUGUAAAGAUAAUUAAUUGGUGUUCCUCAAACUUCAACUAAUGAAUCAUCUGAAUUCACUGCAAUGCUGUGUUUAGAAAUGUCCAAAGCAAUAGGAGUUCAAGGUCUAACAAUUCAAGACAUCGAUACUGCACAUCUCUACAAAUGACGGCAGCAACCCUGUAAUUUGCAAAUUUACCAGACGAUUGGCCAAAGAAGCUGUAAUUAAUGUCUAAGUGAAAGGAGAUUAAGAAAGUUAUCUGCUCAUCGCUUGCAAUAUUUUCCCGACAGCAUCUCUCAAUGUAAUUGCAAUGGGAAUAUAUGAUCAUGGGCGUACCGGAAGGAAAAAAUUAGGGUGGCGGAAGGAAAAUUGCCCGACUUUUCGGGAUUUUGCCCGACUAGUACCAAAAAAUUUUUUCCGGAAAAUUUUUUUUGGCGACCUCCCCCCCCCCCUGUCGCCAAAAAAAUUUCGGUCAGUGUACCAUUUUAGGGGUCAAAAAAUUUUUCCGGACAACCAAUAUUUUUCGGAACAUACAGGGUGUCUCAAAAAAACCCAAAAUCAUUGAAAUUGACGUAUUGUUCGAUAUUCAAUGCCCUAGCACUAAGUUAAUCCCACGAGUGCAUAAAAGAUUGACAUAACUGCUAUAAUGAAUGGUAAUACUCAGCGUAAACUUGUUAUGUCAGGCAUAAAGU